AUACGGAGGAUGCAAGCGUUAUCCGGAUUUAUUGGGUUUAAAGGGUGCGUAGGCGGACAGUCAAGCAGGGGGUGAAAUGCCGGCGCUCAACGCCGGAGCUGCCUUCUGAACUGGCUGUCUGGAGUGGCAGUGCCGUUGGAGGAAUGAGUGGUGUAGCGGUGAAAUGCUUAGAUAUCACUCAGAACCCUGAUUGCGAAGACUUCUGACGAACUGCCCACUGACGCUGAGGCACGAAAGCGUGGGGAUCAAACAGGAUUAGAUUCCCUGGUAGUCCACGCAGUAAACGAUGAUGACAAACUGCCGUCCCGUUGCGGGUCGAUGGCCAAGCGAAAGCGAUAAGUCAUCCACCUGGGGAGUACGAUCGCAAGGUUGAAGCUGAAAUGAAUUGAUGGGG
rnacentral:rRNA from 1 species